rnacentral:rRNA from 1 species
AUGCAGUCGAGCGGAGAGAGCUUCUCUGAUUCGCGGCGGACGGGUGAGUAAUGCCUAGGAAUCUGCCUGGUAGUGGGGGACAACGUUUCGAAAGGAACGCUAAUACCGCAUACGUCCUACGGGAGAAAGCAGGGGACCUUCGGGCCUUGCGCUAUCAGAUGAGCCUAGGUCGGAUUAGCUAGUUGGUGGGGUAAUGGCUCACCAAGGCGACGAUCCGUAACUGGUCUGAGAGGAUGAUCAGUCACACUGGAACUGAGACACGGUCCAGACUCCUACGGGAGGCAGCAGUGGGGAAUAUUGGACAAUGGGCGAAAGCCUGAUCCAGCCAUGCCGCGUGUGUGAAGAAGGUCUUCGGAUUGUAAAGCACUUUAAGUUGGGAGGAAGGGCAGUAAGCUAAUACCUUGCUGUUUUGACGUUACCGACAGAAUAAGCACCGGCUAACUCUGUGCCAGCAGCCGCGGUAAUACAGAGGGUGCAAGCGUUAAUCGGAAUUACUGGGCGUAAAGCGCGCGUAGGUGGUUUGUUAAGUUGGAUGUGAAAGCCCCGGGCUCAACCUGGGAACUGCAUCCAAAACUGGCAAGCUAGAGUACGGUAGAGGGUGGUGGAAUUUCCUGUGUAGCGGUGAAAUGCGUAGAUAUAGGAAGGAACACCAGUGGCGAAGCGACCACCUGGACUGAUACUGACACUGAGUGCGAAAGCUGGGGAGCAAACAGGAUUAGAUACCCUGGUAGUCCACGCCGUAAACGAUGUCCCCUUGGACCUGAAUUUUAGUGGCGCACUAACGCAUUAGUUGACCUGGGAACGCCCAGUACUCAUGAUUGACGGGGCAACGGGGUUU